UCUCUCAUAUCUUCUUUCCAAAUUUCCACCAACCCAUCUAAAUCUCUCUAUCUUCUCUGAAAAUUCAACCUCUUUCAAACCGGCUGGAAGAGGCAAAACGCUAGGUUUCAGAACGAUGAAUAGGGCGACAUCUCAAAGGUGGGGAAAUACAUUGAAGUGCCGAUGUUUUGGUGUUGGAUCUUUGGUUUACCUCACCGGAGUCGCCGCCGUCCUUUAGUACCUUGUUGCUGAGCACUUCUGGAGCUUGGAUGGCACUGUUGAAGAGGAAAACCCAUGGAAUUUCGAUUUCCAAAUGUAAAUUUGAAAGCGGUUUCGAUACACUUGAGGGAAGCAAUGAUGUCUGGUGAAGUUGUGGACAUGGAUUGGAGUAAAAGACCCAGGAGAUCGGAUAUUUGUGUAAACGUAAAUGGAAUUUCAGAUAAGUCAUUGUUGAACUCUAACAACUUUAUUAUUGUUCAUGGAGCUUGUUAGUUGAUUCAUCUGGAAGCCCUUC